GACGUAGGGCGCGAGCGUUGUCCGGAUUUAUUGGGCGUAAAGAGCUCGUAGGCGGCUUGUCGCGUCGACUGUGAAAACUGGGGGCUUAACUCUCAGCUUGCAGUUGAUACGGGCAGACUUGAGUUCGGUAGGGGAGACUGGAAUUCCUGGUGUAGCGGUGAAAUGCGCAGAUAUCAGGAGGAACACCGGUGGCGAAGGCGGCUACCUGGACCGGUUCUGACGCUGAUGCGCGAAAGCGUGGGUAGCAAACAGGA
rnacentral:rRNA from 1 species